UUUUUGUAUAAGGAGUAAGGAAGGGAUCCAAUUUCAGCUUUUAUUUUAAGGCUUGUUUUAUUUUAAUGGCUGAUCUAUGUAAUCACGGAGGCCAGUAUGUACAGACAAAGGGGGAGCUUUUAUUUAUUGGUCUCUUCCUCCUUGGACAAAGUCUUUAUGAUCUCCUCCUUCUUGGCCUGGAGGCGUUCUUCAUGGCGUUUGCCUGCUUCCUUGGUCUUAGACCUGCGGGCCUCAGCCUGGUCAGCCAAGAGCUUCUUGAGGGCCUUGUCUGCCUUCAGCUUGUGGAUGUGUUCCAUGAGAAUACAUGGCCACAGCCGUGAGUAUGCUCAGGCUUCAGAAGAGGCUCGCCUCUAGUGUCCUCCACUGUGGCAAGAAGAAGGUCUGGUUAGACACCAGUGAGACCAAUGAAAUAGCCAGUGCCAACUCUCGUCAGCAGAUCCAGAAGCUGAUCAAAGAUAGGCUGAUCAACUGCAAGCCUGUGACGGUCCAUUCCUGGGCGCGAUGCCAGAAAAACACCUUGGCCCGCCUGAAGGGCAGGCACAUGGGCAUAGGUAAGAGGAAGGGUACAGCCAAUGCCCGAAUGCCAAAGAAGGUCACGUGGAUGAGGAGAAUGAGGAUUCUGCUCCGGUUGCUCAGAAGACACUGUGAGUCUAAGAAGAUUGAUCACCACGUGUAUCACAGCCUGUACCUGAAGGUGAAGGGGAAUGUGCUCAAGAAUAGCUUAAAAUAGGAGGACAGAAUCACUAAUUUAUUGGUUAUAGCUACAUGGUCAGUUUUGA